rnacentral:rRNA from 1 species
GACGAACGCUGGCGGCGUGCUUAACACAUGCAAGUCGAACGGAAAGGCCCUGCUUGCAGGGUGCUCGAGUGGCGAACGGGUGAGUAACACGUGGGUGAUCUGCCCCUUACUUUGGGAUAAGCCUGGGAAACUGGGUCUAAUACUGGAUAGGACCAUGCUGUAGGUGGUGUGGUGGAAAGAUUAGUUUCGGUAAGGGAUGAGCUCGCGGCCUAUCAGCUUGUUGGUGGGGUAAUGGCCUACCAAGGCGUCGACGGGUAGCCGGCCUGAGAGGGUGGACGGCCACAUUGGGACUGAGAUACGGCCCAGACUCCUACGGGAGGCAGCAGUGGGGAAUAUUGCACAAUGGGCGCAAGCCUGAUGCAGCGACGCCGCGUGGGGGAUGACGGCCUUCGGGUUGUAAACUCCUUUCAGGCAUGACGAAGCCCUUGUGGUGACGGUAGUGGUAGAAGAAGCACCGGCUAACUACGUG